UCCGGCUUAUCACCGGCAGUUUCUUUAGAGUGCCCAACUAAAUGGUAGCAACUAAAGACGAGGGUUGCGCUCGUUGCGGGACUUAACCCAACAUCUCACGACACGAGCUGACGACAACCAUGCACCACCUGUGAACCGGCCCCAAAGGGGAAACCACAUUUCUGCGGCGGUCCGGUCCAUGUCAAGCCUUGGUAAGGUCCUCCGCGUUGCGUCGAAUUAAACCACAUGCUCCGCUGCUUGUGCGGGCCCCCGUCAAUUCCUUUGAGUUUUAGCCUUGCGGCCGUACUCCCCAGGCGGGGCACUUAAUGCGUUAGCUUCGGCACGGAGGGAGUCGACACCCCCCACACCUAGUGCCCAUCGUUUACGGCGUGGACUAC
rnacentral:misc_RNA from 1 species